UCGGUAAUGUAAUAUGGCGACUUGCAC
rnacentral:piRNA from 1 species